UUUGGGAGUUGGGAGGUGAGAUGAUUGGAGUGAAGAGAGUUAAUGUCAUGGAAAGGAAAAGCUGUCUGAAGAAAAAUACACAUUUUAAUGUCCCUCUUCAGCCGUGCCUGCUGAGAGCUCUCCUGGGAUGAUAAGUGAAAGUGUUUGGAUUUUUUUUUAAGUUUUAAAACUCUGCCAAAGCAUUGCUCAGUGUAUCUGGGCAGCCCCUUCCGGCAAAACGCAGCAGUAGCAGAGGCAGCUUCUGAGAGCCUGGGCAGGCAGCAGCUGGCUGACCAAGUCCACUGGAAGAGAAGGCUUGUGCCAGCCGGGAGAAGGAAGCCGGGGACAGGAUGAAAGCAACAACACCUUUACAGACAGUCGACCGGCCCAAGGACUGGUACAAGACGAUGUUUAAGCAAAUUCACAUGGUGCACAAGCCGGAUGAUGACACAGACAUGUAUAAUACUCCUUAUACAUACAAUGCAGGUCUGUACAACCCACCCUACAGUGCUCAGUCACACCCUGCUGCAAAGACCCAAACCUACAGACCUCUUUCCAAAAGCCACUCUGACAACAGCCCCAAUGCCUUUAAGGAUGUGUCCUCCCCAGUGCCUCCCCCACAUGUUCCACCUCCAGUCCCACCGCUUCGACCAAGAGAUCGGUCUUCAACAGAAAAGCAUGACUGGGAUCCUCCAGACAGAAAAGUGGACACAAGAAAAUUUCGGUCUGAGCCAAGGAGUAUUUUUGAAUAUGAACCUGGCAAGUCAUCAAUUCUUCAGCAUGAAAGACCACCCCCUCUCCCAACAACUCCGACACCUGUUCCAAGGGAACCUGGCCGGAAGCCUCUUUCUAGCUCCCGACUCGGAGAAGUCACUGGUAGCCCCUCCCCUCCGCCCCGGAGUGGCGCCCCCACACCAAGCUCGCGCGCCCCG
rnacentral:sRNA from 1 species